rnacentral:rRNA from 1 species
UACAGAGGUCCCAAGCGUUGUUCGGAUUCAUUGGGCGUAAAGGGUGCGUAGGCUGCACGGUAAGUCAGAGGUGAAAUCCCGGAGCUCAACUUCGGAAUUGCCUCCGAUACUGCCGUGCUUGAGGACUGGAGAGGAGAUUGGAAAUUCACAGUGGAGCAGUGAAAAUGCGUAGAUAUCGUGAGGAAGGACCAGUGGCGAAGGCGGGUCUCUGGACAGUUCCUGACACUGAGGCACGAAGGCCCAGGGGGAGCAAAACGGGGAUUAGAAA